UGUUGUCAGACUUAAAAUAUAGAAUGUUUCUAAAGUAUUAUUCACUGAUAUUGCACACACGUUUACAUUUGCGUUUAAAUAUAAUUAAAACAGAAAUUGGAUUAAUCUCUAGAUUAUGCUCAUUAAUUUCGGCUAAGAUUAGCUAUCGUUAUGUUUGACAUAUUCGACAGACCGCCUGCGGAUCCCACGCGCUUCUUUCUCGCCUGCAGUCCCUGGCCCAUGGUCCUCAUAGUAUCUUUUUAUCUGCUCUUUGUGCUGAAGCUGGGGCGCCAGUUCAUGGCAAAGCGGACGGCCUAUGAUCUUCGAGUCGUACUCAAGAUAUAUAAUCUGGUGCAGAUCUUAUACAAUGGAUUGGUAUUCUUUGCGGCAAUUUGUUAUCUGACUGCGUUUAGGCCUCACAGCCUAGGCUGCAUAACGGUGAUGCCUCAGGACCAUCCAUUGAAGAACAUAGAUCGUCUGCUCUCCUAUGCGUACUAUAUCAACAAGUACUUCGAUUUACUGGACACCAUUUUCAUAGUGUUGCGAAAGAGCUAUAAACAGAUCUCGGGUCUGCAUCUGCUGCAUCACCUGUACAUGCCCAUCACGGGUUACUAUGUGAUCCGGUUCAACGGCUAUGGUGGCCACCUUAUAGUCAUGGGUGUCCUCAAUCUCUUCGUGCACGUUGUUAUGUAUAGCUACUACUACAUCUCAUCGCAGAUACCGCCUGCAGAGCGGAGAAUCUGGUGGAAGGAGUACAUAACCAUAUUGCAGAUGCUUCAGUUCCUGAUUAUAUUUGCGCACAAUAUUUGGACAUUAAUGCAGCCAAGAUGUGAGAUUUCUCGAGUGCUAACCUAUAUGGUACUCUUCAUGUCAGUUGCUAUGUUUUUGAUGUUUACCAACUUCUACACACACGCCUACAUACUGCCUAAGAAGAAGAAGAAGAAGCAGAAAGAGGUGGCCUAUGACUAAAGAGUUAGAUACAGGGUUUGGCGCUUAACUAAAUUAUAUUCGUAUAAGUUUGCUUCGUUUUUGGUAAACGUAAGUCUCAUUGAAAGAGAAACACAAGGUUUGUGAUAACGCAACUCUCCGAUCGAACAGUAGCAAAGCGCAAAGCAAAAUAUAUAUCGUAUAUUUAUAUCAAUAUAUUCUAAAUGUCUCUUGUUAUUCGGCUCAACUUGAUCUUAAACUGUAAAUAAACUUUCAUUGUAACU